rnacentral:tRNA from 2 species
GCUCUGUUCGUCUAACGGUUAGGACGACAGAUUCUCAGUCUGUAAAUAAGGGUUCGAUUCCCUUACAGAGUACAA